rnacentral:rRNA from 1 species
GACGAACGCUGGCGGCGUGCUUAACACAUGCAAGUCGAGCGGUAAGGCCCUUCGGGGUACACGAGCGGCGAAAGGGUGAGUAACACGUGAGUAAUCUGCCCAUCACUUCGGGAUAACUCCGGGAAACCGGUGCUAAUACCGAAUAUGACCACUUCAGGCAUCUGAUGGUGGUGGAAAGUUCCGGCGGUGAUGGAUGAGCUCGCGGCCUAUCAGCUUGUUGGUGGGGUAGUGGCCUACCAAGGCUUCGACGGGUAGCCGGCCUGAGAGGGUGACCGGCCACACUGGGACUGAGACACGGCCCAGACUCCUACGGGAGGCAGCAGUGGGGAAUAUUGGACAAUGGGCGAAAGCCUGAUCCAGCAACGCCGCGUGAGGGAUGACGGCCUUCGGGUUGUAAACCUCUUUCAGCAGGGACGAAGCGCAAGUGACGGUACCUGCAGAAGAAGCACCGGCCAACUACGUG